rnacentral:rRNA from 1 species
UUUAGCCAUGCUAGUCGCACGAGUUUAGACUCGUGGCAUAUAGCUCAGUAACACGUGGCCAAACUACCCUACAGACCGCGAUAACCUCGGGAAACUGAGGCCAAUAGCGGAUAUCACUCUCAUGCUGGAGUGCCGAGAGUGAGAAACGUUCCGGCGCUGUAGGAUGUGGCUGCGGCCGAUUAGGUAGAUGGUGGGGUAACGGCCCACCAUGCCGAUAAUCGGUACGGGUUGUGAGAGCAAGAACCUGGAGACGGUAUCUGAGACAAGAUACCGGGCCCUACGGGGCGCAGCAGGCGCGAAACCUUUACACUGCACGACAGUGCGAUAGGGGGACUCCGAGUGCGAGGGCAUAUAGCCCUCGCUUUUCUGAACCGUAAGGUGGUUCAGGAACAAGGACUGGGCAAGACCGGUGCCAGCCGCCGCGGUAAUACCGGCAGUCCGAGUGAUGGCCGAUAUUAUUGGGCCUAAAGCGUCCGUAGCUUGCUGNACAAGUCCGUUGGGAAAUCGACGCGCUCAACGCGUCGGCGUCCAGCGGAAACUGUACGGCUUGGGGCCGAAAGACUNGACGGGUACGUCCGGGGUAGGAGUGAAAUCCUGUAAUCCUGGACGGACCACCAAUGGGGAAACCACCUCGAGAAGACGGACCCGACAGUGAGGGACGAAAGCUAGGGUCUCGAACCGGAUUAGAUACCCGGGUAGUCCUAGCUGUAAACGAUGCUCGCUAGGUGUGUCGUACGCUAUGAGCAUGCGCUGUGCCCGUAGUGAAGACGAUAAGCGAGCCGCCUGGGAAGUACGUCUGCAGGAUGAAACUUAAAGGAAUUGGCGGGGGAGCACCACACCGGAGAGCCUGCGUUUAUGGACUCACGCGGACAUCUCACGGUCCGACAGUAGUAUGANGUCAGUGACGACUUUACUCGACGCUACUG